rnacentral:tRNA from 1 species
GGAGAUCUAGCUCAGUGGUAGAGCGCUUGCCUAGGAAGCGCAAGGCCCUGGGUUCGGUCCCCAGCUCCG